AUCCCUGUACGCUUCCAGCCAUUAUCUCCUGCUUGCCAACCUGAUCUCUGACCUGUGACCCAUUUUUGGACCUGAAUAUCCCGACUCAGCCUGCUCCCUGUCUGUUUCCACAGCCCCGGCGGAGCUUCUCUUACGACAUCACGGCCCCUGAAAACCACCCUGCUGGUUUCCAUCCCCUCCGCUGGCUAAGCUGACUGCAAAAACCAGACCUGAUUUCCCCAGAGAAAUUCUCAUCAUCUCAAUAAACACUGUUUUUACCUAUUCCUCAGUUCCAACUUUAUUUGUGGUCCAGUUUGCUGAUUC